CGUAUUUCGAUUUCAUUUAAGAAUUGAACGUGAAAUUUUUUGAGUUUCAUGCUAGUAUGAAACGCAAAACCGCUUUACACACUGCAUGAAUGGCGUAGCGCAUUAGAUUAUACACCUAACUUUGAAAAUUACUUUACAAGCUUUAAGAUCUUGAGUCAUAUGUUAAAGAGAUAAAGGAUAUUCUACUUGCAAAACAGGCUGAUCAUGAUGAUAUAAUUGCCAAGAGAUGAUUGAAUCACUUUUGCCUGAAACAUGGAAGUUGCGCAUCGACACCAUCGAAGAAUUACAAGACUUCGAAGAUCAACUGGAUGAUGGGACAUUCAGAAAAAAAAUUGGCCAAGAAGCAUAAUGCACAGCAGAGACUGAAGAGUUUUCUGAGACAUUCUAUUUGUUUGCUUUGUUUUUAGCUGGUUCAGUUUGCUGAAAGACCGUUUACAAGCAGCAGUUGAUUGUGAAAGCAUCAUGUUACAAGAUUAUGAAUCGAGUUUUGAUAUCAGAAUUAUUUUAAAGUCCUAGUUAUUAUGACUUAAGACAACAUUACAGGAUGAACAAAUAAAAAUGGUUUCAAAGUUUAAAGUUUGUUUUGGUUAACGACACCACAAGAGCACACUGAUUUAUUAAUCAUCGGCUAUUAGAUUUCAGACGUGGUAAUUUUGACA